CAGAGUGUGACUGAGUGCUGGAGAGGAGAGACAUCAGAGUGCAGAAUAAGAAAGUAAUUAUUUAGUGUCUGUGGCUGAACUUCAACACACAAUGGCAGAAAAACCCUUGACAGACUGGGACAGUGGUCUCUUGGAUUGCUUUGAGGACGCGAGUACUUGCUGCUAUGGUUUUUGGUGCAGCCCCUGCCUCACCCUAACUGUCGCAGGAAGGUUUGGAGAGAACAAUCUUCUCCCUUUAU